GCCAGACUCCUACGGGAGGCAGCAGUGGGGAAUAUUGGACAAUGGGGGGAACCCUGAUGCAGCGACGCCGCGUGGGUGAAGGAGCGUUUCGGCGCGUAAAGCCCUAUCGGCAGGGAAGAAGGAGGACGGUACCUGACUAAGAAGCCCCGGCUAACUACGUGCCAGCAGCCGCGGUAAUACGUAGGGGGCAAGCGUUAUCCGGAUUUACUGGGUGUAAAGGGGGCGCAGACGGCAGCGCAAGCCAGGAGUGAAAGCCCGGGGCCCAACCCCGGGACUGCUCUUGGAACUGCGCGGCUGGAGUGCAGGAGGGGCAGGCGGAAUUCCUGGUGUAGCGGUGAAAUGCGUAGAUAUCAGGAGGAACACCGGUGGCGAAGGCGGCCUGCUGGACUGCGACUGACGUUGAGGCCCGAAAGCGUGGGGAGCAAACAGGAUUAGAUACCCCCGUAC
rnacentral:rRNA from 1 species